GAAAAAUUUCUUUCAACUGUCUAGAGCCUACAGUGUAAUUACUUUCUUCUCUACUUCCCCAACCGGUAUUACUAAAUAGGUACUAUCUCGCAUAAUGAUUAGGAUUUAAUAGUAAAUGCUUAUUAGUUAACCAGGCAGGUUUAACCACGUUAUUAUAGAAACUCUAAGAGGUUUCACACGUGUGAAUUAGAAAUUCUAAGCUGAGAAAGCUACUUAAAAUUGGUCAAGAAAAAGAUACACAUUAAGUAUAAGAAAGUUGGCAUGGCUAUAGUAGUAUCAGAUAAUAGGCCUCAAAACAGUGUAUAUGGCAGGAGAUAGGUAACAGUCAUAAAAGAGCAGGUCAUUAGGAAUUUGCAUAUACAUUUGUCACUACAGGGAUACAUUCUGAGAAAUGUGUUAUUAGGUGAUUGCAUCAUGCAAGCAUCAUAGAGCACACUAACACAAACAGCAAUGGGGUAGCCUACUACAUACCUAAGUUAUAUGGUAUAGCCUAUUGCUCCUAGGCUACAAACCUGUAUAGCAUAUUAUAUAGCAUAUAGCAUACCUGUAUUGAAUGCUGUAGGCAUUUAUAACACAGUGGUGUUUGUGUAUCUAAACAUAGCAAAGGUACAGUAAAAAUACUGUAUAAAAUAUUAAAAAAUGGCACACCGGUAUAAGAUACUUGCCAUGAAUGGAGCUUGUGGGACUGAAUUUCUGGGUGCAUCAGUGAGUGAGUUGUGAGAGAAUGCUAAGGACUAGGACAUUACUGUAUACUGCUGUAGACUUUACAAGCAGUACACUUAGGCUUCACUAAAUUUAUUUUUUUAAGUUUUCUUCAAUAAUAAAUUAACCUUAGCUUCCUGUAAUAUUUUUACAUUAUAAACUUACUAUUUUUUAUCUUUCUGAAUUGUAGUGACUCUUCACUUAAAACGCAAACACAUUAUAUAGCAACACAAAAAUAUUUCUGUCCUUAUUCUAUAGGCUUUUUUCUAUUUAAAAAUUUUUUUGUUUUAAAAAUGUUUGUUACUUUUUAAACUUUCUUGUUAAAAACAAACACACUUUAGCCUGGGCCUACACAGGGUCUAGAGUAUCAAUAUGUCUGUCUUUUACCGCCAUAUCUUGUCCAACUGGAAUGUCGUCUUCAGGAUUAAAAAUAUGCAUGGAGCUGUCAUCGCCUAUGAAAACAAUGCCUUCUUCUGGAUACCUCCUGAAGGACUUGCCUGAGGCUGUUUUACAGUUACUUUUUUUUUUUAAUAAGUAGAAGGAGUACAGUCUAAAAUAAUAAUACAAAUAGUACAAUAAAUUACAUAAACUAGUAAUGUAAUCACUUAUUAUUAUCACCUAUUACGUACUAUACAUAAUUGCAUGUGCUAUACUUUUAUACAACUGGAAGCACAGUAGGUUUAUUUACAGCAGCGUCACCACAAACACCUGAGUGAUAUGUUGCAUGACAACGUCCACAAGUGAUAGGAAUUUUUCAGCUCCAUUGUAAUCUUAUGGGACCACCAUUGUAUAUGUGUCCAUCAUUGAGUAAAAUGUUAUUACAUGACACAUGACUGUGUUCAUCAGGAAUAUGUAUGCUAGUAUGAACCUAUAAUGAGAGUGUUAAAUUUUAUGAAGCAAAAACUAACAGAACAAAAGAAAUAGAUCCACAAGCAUAAUUGGAAAUCCACAAUUAUAUCUCAGUAAUUGAUAGCACUUGUAGGCAAGAAAUUCAGUAGUAUAUGUAAUCAGCUCUUCAUAUAUGCAGAUUCAACCAAUAGCAAUGCACAAAUAUUCAGAAAAAACACAAUGACAGUAAAAAAAUACAAAUUUUAAAAUACAGUAUAAAAUUAUUUACAUAGCAUUUACAUUGUAUUAAGUAUUAUAAAAAAUCUAGAGAUGGUUUAAAAUAUACAGAAGGUUGUGCAUAGGUUAUAUGCAACUACUACACCAUUUUAUAUAACAAACUUGGGCAUCUGUAGGUUUUGGUAUCCACAAGGUGUCCUGGAACCAGUCCCCUGUGGAUAGCAAGGGACAACUGUAUAGAAGAUAUGAACCACACCAGUCAACAUGACCUAAUUGUUGUUUACAGAACACCAUACCCACAAUUGAAAAAUUACAUUCUUUUCAUGUACCUGAACAGUCCCCAUGAUAGACUAUUGGCUGGACCAUAAGUCACAAUAAACUUCAAAAGAUUGCCACAUUACAGGGAAUGUGCAUUAGAAACCAAUAAUAAGAAACCUAUACAGUCCUUCAAUACAUGGAAAUUAAAUAACACACUUCUAGAUCUACAGAUCAUUGAAUAAAUAAGGGGAAAAUGUUUUGAAAUAUGAAAAAGUGACAACAGCAUAUCAAAAUUGGAAGGAUACAGCUAAAGCAGAGUUGAGAGGAAUGUUAAGUACUUAAAUAAAAAAAGGAGAAAUUCAUAGCAGCAUUAUUCACAAUAACCAAGAAAUACGUACAACCCAGAUGUUCAUCAGUGGAUGAAUGGAUAAACAAAAUGUGGUAAUAUGAUUUGGAUAUUUGUUCCCUCAAAAUCUCACACGGACAUGUGACCCCCAGUGUUGGAGGUGGCGCCUAGUGGGAGGUGUUGGAUUAUGGGGUGGAUCUCAUGAAUGGCUUGGUGUCCUCCACAUGGAUAUGAGUUCAUCCUAUAGCUAGUUGUUUAAAAGAGCCUGGCACCUCCUCCCUCUCCCUUUUGUUCCCUCUUGCCAUGUGAUAUGCUAGCUCUCCCUUUGCCUUCUGCCAUAAUUGUAAGCUUCCUGAGGCCUCACCAGAAGCAGAUGCUGGCACUAUGCUUCUUGUACAGCCUAUAGAACCAUAAGCUAAAUAAACCAUUUUUCUUUAUAAAUUACCCAGCCUCAGGUAUUCCUUUAUAGCAACACAAAACAGACUAAUACAUGUGGCAUAUACAUACAAUGUAAUAUUAUUCAGCCUU
rnacentral:lncRNA from 1 species